rnacentral:rRNA from 1 species
AGCCGACCUGAGAGGGUGAUCGGCCACACUGGAACUGAGACACGGUCCAGACUCCUACGGGAGGCAGCAGUAGGGAAUCUUCCGCAAUGGGCGAAAGCCUGACGGAGCAACGCCGCGUGAGUGAUGAAGGUCUUCGGAUCGUAAAACUCUGUUAUUAGGGAAGAACAAAUGUGUAAGUAACUAUGCACGUCUUGACGGUACCUAAUCAGAAAGCCACGGCUAACUACGUGCCAGCAGCCGCGGUAAUACGUAGGUGGCAAGCGUUAUCCGGAAUUAUUGGGC